rnacentral:rRNA from 1 species
GACGAACGCUGGCGGCGUGCUUAACACAUGCAAGUCGAACGGUGAUGCUCCAGCUUGCUGGAGUGGAUCAGUGGCGAACGGGUGAGUAACACGUGAGCAACCUGCCCCAGACUCUGGAAUAAGCGCUGGAAACGGCGUCUAAUACUGGAUACGAAACUGGCCCGCAUGGGCAUGGUUUGGAAAGUUUUUCGGUUUGGGAUGGGCUCGCGGCCUAUCAGCUUGUUGGUGAGGUAAUGGCUCACCAAGGCGACGACGGGUAGCCGGCCUGAGAGGGCGACCGGCCACACUGGGACUGAGACACGGCCCAGACUCCUACGGGAGGCAGCAGUGGGAAUAUUGCACAAUGGGCGAAAGCCUGAUGCAGCGACGCCGCGUGAGGGAUGACGGCCUUCGGGUUGUAAACCUCUUUCAGCAGGGAAGAAGCGAAAGUGACGGUACCUGCAGAAGAAGCACCGGCUAACUACGUG